GCCUCCGUAGCUCAGUGGUAGAGCAAUUGCCUUGUAAGCAAUAGGUCGCAGGUUCAAAUCCUGCCGGGGGCU
rnacentral:tRNA from 1 species